rnacentral:rRNA from 1 species
UUUAAAUGGCCGCAGUAUACUAACUGUGCAAAGGUAGCAUAAUCAUUAGUCUUUUAAUUGAAGGCUGGUAUGAAUGGUUGAACAAAAUAUUAACUGUUUCAUAAAAAUUUUUAAUAAAACUUUAUUUUUUAGUUAAAAAGCUAAAAUAAAUUUAAAAGACGAGAAGACCCUAUAAAUCUUUAUAUUAUUAAUUUAUUGUUAUUAUUAAUUAGAAAAUUUUUAUUAAUAUUUUAUAAUAUUUUAUUGGGGUGAUAUUAAAAUUUAAUUAACUUUUAAUUAUUUUUUUUUCAUUUAUUUAUGAUUAAUUGAUCCGUUAUUAACGAUUAAAAAAAUAAGUUACUUUAGGGAUAACAGCGUAAUUUUUUUGGAAAGUUCAUAUUGAUAAAAAAUAUUGCGACCUCGAUGUUGGAUUAAGAAAUAUAUUUAGGUGUAGAAGCUUAAAUUAUAAGUCUGUUCGACUUUUAAAUUCUUACAUGAUCUGAGUUCAGACCGGCGUAAGCCAGGUUGGUUUCUAUCUUUAAAAU